UUUCUGCGCCAGCCAGGCCUCCAGGGGUCCAGAGCAGCCACUUCUCCUGUCAUGUGUCCCUCUCCACCGGGGCUUCCAAGACUCUGUCCCUCGUCCGCGUGAGUGGACACGGGCUGUGCCACCACCCCUCCAGGGGCCACUCCUGGCCCACCUGGAGGAGCGCCGGCUGCUGAAGCGGGGCAAGACCUGCGAAGGAUGGGAGGCCGGAGAGCCCUGGAUCCGACAGGCCCGUCCUCUCCUCCCUCCCGCUCUCUGGGAGAAGAUCUGGAUAACCUGGGUGGUGUCAUUUACCUAGGACUUUAGGAAACUUCCGGAUUUCAUUGCUGCUCUGUACUGAGAAUUCCCAGGAGCCACCCCUCAGCAGGGCCUGCCACGGUGGGUCGAGGAUGGAUGCUGAGCACGCCUGGAGGCUGAACGAAGAUCCCCUGGGAGCCAGGCCCCAGCACCCGUGCUCUCCAGUGGAAAAGCUCGCAAACAGG